ensembl:lncRNA
UGUAUAUAUAUAUAUGUAUGUAAACACGAUAUAUAAAUACAUGUUUAUAUUAAAGGAUCUGAAAAGUCUACACACCCUAGUAGCAUUUUGUGAUGUGUAAAAAAAAAAAAAAAAUUAAACCAGCAUAAAACAUUUCAGAACCUUUUCUACCUUUUAUUGUUAAAUUUUUACUUGUUACUUCAUUAUUAUUGUUAUUCACUUUAAUUAAUCAUUUUAGGUGGGUGGGUGGGGGGGGGGGGGGGGGGGUCAUUUAAAGUGACUGAUUAACCCUAAAUAAAAUACAGUUGUUCCUAUAGGAUUUUCCUGACAUCAUCUUAACAUCCAACUAGAAAAGCCACAUACACAUUUUUGACCAUAAUACCAAAACACAUCACAUCACAUCACCUAAAGCACAUCAUCCCCACGGUGAAGCAUGGAAGAGGCAGCAUCGUACUGUAGGGCUUUUUAUCUUCAACAGGAACUGGGGCGUUAAUUGGGGUGGAGGGAAUCAUGAAUAGCUCCAAAUACCAGUCGAUUUUGGUGCAAAACCUUAACGCUUCUGUUAAAACACUUAAGAUGAAGAGGAAUGUCACCUUUCAGCAUGACAAUGACUCAAGGCAAACCGUCAGAUCAACAAAGGGAUGGCUUCAAUAAAACAAGUUCAAGGUUUUGGAAUGGCCCAGCCGGAGUCCAGACCUAAAUCCAAUCAAAGAUCUGUGGGGUGACCUGAAGACGAGACGCACAACCAGACUGACAGAGUUAGAACACUUUUGCAAGGAAGAAUGGCAAAAUAUUUCUAAGUCCAGACGUGCCAAACUGACUGACUCUUAUCCAGAAAGAUUGAAUGCUGUGAUUAAACUCUAAAGGUGCUUCAACUGAGUAUUAGUCUAGGUGUGUGCACACUCAUGUAACCAGGUCAUUGUACAUUAUUUUUAUCCCUGAAACUAAUGAAUAGGUUAAAAUUUUACAGUGAAGGUAGAAAAGAUUGACACGAUUUAUCUUGGUUUCGUUUUUUUACAUCACAACAACCUGCCAUUUUAACAGGGGUGUGUAGACUUUUUCAGAUCCGCUGUAUGUCUUGCAGCUAAAAAUCGUCACAGAAGACAGAAAAUUACUUUUGCAAGCACUCCGUUGCAAAGGGAGCAAAAACCCCGUAUAACACGACUAUGUUGCAGUUGCUUAAAAUACACCAUACGGCCAAAAGUAUGUGGACACCUGACCAUCACCUUUGUUUCUGUUGCCAUAAAGCUGGAAGCAAACGGUUGUUUAGAAUGCCUUUGUUUGCUGUAGCUGUAGAUUUCCUUUCUCCAGCAUGACAGUGCACCUGUGCACAAAGCGAGCGCUAUGAAGACGUGGCUGGAGAGGAAUAACUCGAAUGGCCUACACAAACCCCUGACCUCAUCUUCAACUGCACCCCAGGCCUCCUCACCCAACAUCAAUGCCUGACCUCAUCAAUGCUCUUGUGGCUGAAUGGACAAAGCCACGCUCGAAAAUCUAGUGGAAAGCUUUCCCAGAAGAGUGGAGGAUAUUAUAAUAGCAAAGUGGGACUACAUCCAGAACGGGAAGUGUGUGACCGAUCAGGUGUCCACGUCCUUUUGGCCAUAUAGUGUAUAUCCAAGAUGUGCGCCGGCAAUUGAUGAAGCAAACAUCUAGUGUGAAAGCAGCUCUCAAGUCUGGCAGAAAACAUCUAUGAAUGCUGUUUUGGAUUAAUAAGAUUAAUAUGCAUGCACUUACACCCCAUGGAGACGCAAAGCAUCAUUUCUUCGAGAAUCUGCCUUCAAAUAUUAAUAAAAAGACACCACUCUUUAGGAUAGAUCACUAAAAGCAUCAGCCUCCAGCUGGCCUGCUUAAUUAUUAAUUAUAUCUUCUAAUGUGAUAUUGAUUUUUCUCUCGUUCCAUCUGAGGUUUGUAUAGUAUUUUUCUGCCAUUAAAAGAAACUGUGCGAAUGGUAUUUUUGUACUCCUCAUGAGAGGCAAAAGCAAAAUCCUCUUUGCAAAAACAGCUUUUUAAAAAAAAAUAAUUAUAAUCACUGGUGUACUUUGUAUGAACCUCUCGGACAAUGUGACCGUGCCUCUGUUUUUACCGCGUGCUUGUAUUUAUACUGUAUAUGUGCAUAAUGAAGUCAUUCCUACUCCAAAACACUUCAGUUACCGCUGACACUCUUCACUUACUGCUCUGAAACGCCAACAUUUAUACACUUGAUGCUAUGUUAUAAUAAAUGUUUCGAGGCUCACAACACACAUUUGUAUGAAAUAAACAUUUGUAUGAACA